AGAAGAUUGAACUCUCAACCAUGACAAAUGCGAUGGGGAAAUCUGAGUUGAUGGACUGAAAAUCUUGAAUCUGAAUUCCUUUGAAUCUUCUGAGCCCACAGAAGUAGCCCACUCCUCCCUUUGAAGGAUUUGCACAGCCAGCAUCUCAGCCGGAAACGACUUUCCCUGGAGGGUUCCCAGCCUCCGAGAGCAGAUAUUCUCAAGGGAAGGAAGUUGAUUCAUGAGAUGACUCCUAGGGAGACUGCCAGAAGGAAAAUCUCUCAGGAAAAAAAAAAGAGAGAGAGACCAACAGAGAGAGAAAGAGAGAGAGUGAUCAAGGUGAUUCGUUAGAUUUAUUUGCUGUGGAUCAUUCGUUUGGUGCCAUUUCUGGGCAAUAUUUAGUCUAAGGAGAGGUAAAGUGAUAGUGAAGUGAGAAGUUUACAAAGCUUGUUAGCUGACUAUCCUGAAAGGGAGUUUGUCUUGAGAUGCUGCAGGGGAAGUAAGUUUGCCUUCAAUAAGCCCUGAGAGUUUGGGUUUAGGGCCUUCUAGGAUCCUCUUCUUGGCAAAAUUUCUAUAGCUGCAUAAUUUGAAGAGUUCUGUGCUGUCUCUUUUUGAAUUACCCAAUAGAUUCUUUAACAGCAUCACAAUUUACUCCUGAAUAGAUAAGAUAACCUCUCUUAUCCUGGCGUGAAUCACGAAAACUAAUAAAAUUUCAUCUGGUUGAGGGAAUCACGGAAUCAUAGACUUUCAGAGAUGGAAGAGUCCUAAAGGUCAUGUGGUCCUCAUCCUGCUCUGAACAUUAAGGGGAGUGAGGACUUUUACGCAUUUCUGAACCUGUGAGAUUUUUAUGACAACCCAGGAGAAUAGAUUUAGGAUGAAGGACAUGUUUACUAGCCAGGCGAUAAAUUGACUAAAUUAAAUAUGAAGAGCAUUAUAAUAAGUGAGCUACUGGCUGACUUUAGCAGCAGGUAGUUUAGAAAUGCCUGUCUUAGUUAUUGACUAGGCUUAUUGCCACCUUUCCUGCAACUGUUUUUCAAAUUUCAAGCAGAAGCAUUUACUAAGAGUGGAUCCAAGACCCUGUCUUUCCUUACAGGGCUGGCAUUUUUCAAAAUAUGUUGCAAUGUUAAAACUUUGAUUUGAGGUUUGAACACUGAGUGUCUUCCCACCUGUCCAGGCAUUGGGUGCGAAGGCUUUUCUAUGAGCUUCUGCCUCCUAUUAAACAGUAAUUUCUCUAACAAAAAAAAAUUUCUCUAAUUUAGAGCUUCAAAAAUCUCACUUUACAAUAAGCUGCUACUGGGCUCAGCUGAGGUCAAGGGUAAUGUGCAGAGGGUGUGCAUUCGUUCAAUCAGGAACUAUUGAAUAACUAUCAUGGGUCAGUCCCUGUAACACAGAUAUGAAUAACAAUGUUAUCAGUAGUAUAGAAAUAUGAACAAUGGUGUCACAGCAAGGAGGGCGACUAAGGCCACUUGUGGAGGAAGCAGAGCAAAACAAUUUUGAGCAGUCUUGCAGAAUAAAAGGCAGGUUUCCUGGUAGAGAAUUAGGGAAAGGUAUUCCAAGCAGAUUUUUCCUGUUAUCAUUAACAGCUGACAUUUAUCAAGUGCUUUCUAUGGUCCAUGUUAUGCAAGAGCUUUAUGUGGAUUUUUUUCAGUUCACCCUCACAACCUCAUGCGGUAGACACUAUUUUUACUCCAUUCUUUUAUAGAUUAUUAAACUGAAAAUUCAAGAGGGUAAGUCCUAUAUGUAAGUUCAUAUAGCAAGUGAGUAGCAGUAUGCACGGGAACUCUGGUCCUUUUGACCCUGAAUGAAAUAUCUCCCAAACAAUAACAAUCCCUUUUCUGAUUUGCUAUUUACUCAACAAUGCAAUGACCCUUCAAUUUUGUAAGUUUGUCAUUAGUGGGAUAAGGUUGUCUCAGAAUGUGAACCUCAGUAUUCCAGUUAUUGCAUGGGUAUUACAAAUUUAAAAUGUAUGCAUAUUUAUCUGGAUAAAUGGGGUUUCUCUUGUAAAAACCAAGCACCAGAGGCUGGGCUGGGAUUUAAGCUAGAUAAUGAGGCUUGGGGUAAAUCCUAACUGAAGACUUCUGUGGGAUUUCCAAGGCAGUCAUUAAGCACAUGCUCUGGAGCCAGGUUCUGAGUCAAAUCAAAACAAGAAUUGAAGAGAGAGCCAAUAUAGAAAGCUAAAAGGACUAAUAAUUUCAAGCAAAAAAUGUCAAAAGAGGUGUGAAUAGUUUUAUAAAGUAAGGCACAGAAGAACAUUCUGAACUUAGCAUGCCACUCAGUUUUGUAUCUCAUCCCUAUGGUCAAGGAAUCAUGUCACCUGUUAAUGGACACCGCCACCUCAACACUUUCCCAGAGGAAGAAAUAAAUGAAGAGUUGGCACAUUUCUGAAAGGCUGCUGCUCUUUAUUAAGCUUUUGAAUUUUUGUCUGUACAGUUGGGAAUAUUAUCAUUGGUCUAAUUGCUCAAUAUUUUGUCUUGUUUAGAUGGAAGUGCAUGUUGUAGAGGAUAAAGUCUGUCCUGCAUGCUGUGCAGUGUCCUGGUGAUACUGGCCCGGACUCACUGAUGCUGUCAUGUCCUCAUGGUCUCUAAGUGAUUUGGUAAUUCCUAGAAAGCCAUACAUAGGCAGUAGGCCGAAAACAAUUGUUUAUUUAAUGGUUUUCAUUUGUUCAUCCAGCAAAUAUUUCUGGAGUGUCUCCUAUGAAUCUGGCACAAUUUAAGAACAAGAGACACAAUGAUAAAUAGAAUAGACAGUGCCAAAUUCUACAUUGUAGAAUACAAGUACGAAAACAAGUGUUUGUAUUCUAAUGAGAGAGUCAAGCAAUAAGCUUAUAAACAACUACCAAAUAGCUUAAGCCUGUGAUGGUGCCCUAAAGAAAAAUAACAGGGUAAUGGUGUGAAGGGUGAUGGAGAAGAGGGGCUGGUGUUUGCUUCUUUAGAUAAUGUAGGCAGGGACAGCCUCUCUAGGAGAUGACACUUGGACUACUUCUUGAAGGAUGAGAGGGAGUCCACCAUGAAAAGGGGCAAGGAAAGAAAGUUUCUAGCAGAAUGACCCCCAAAAUCAAAGACUCUGGAGUGGUAGCAAGUUUAGAGGUCAAAGAACAAAGACUGAGGCUUGAUCAGGAAAUGCUAUAAAGACCAUGGAGCCCCUUAGGGAAUUUCAGCAUAUUAGAUAAAUGCUUAUCAAACUUUGAACUUCCAGAAGGCACUGAGACUUUGGAUCAGUAGCUUUCUAGGCAGCUAUAUUCUUUUGGAAGAUAAAGGUGAAGCAUUGACAGAUGGCUUCUGAGCUAAGUGCUGCCCUCCUACUUGAAUGUCAAAAUGCUCAUUCUUGUAUUUUCUGUUUGAUUUGCCCAGAAAAAGUAACGGUGGUUAAGAGACGGCAUCUGGAAUCAGAGAGUCUUGCUUUUAAUUCUAAUUUUCUACUGGGUAUUAGAUGCAUCAUCCUGGACAAUUUACUUAACUUAAACAAGUCUUCUUCCUCCACUUCUUCUUUUUCUUCCUAUUUAUUCCAGAUACCUCUGUGUGCUGUCUCACAGUCUCUUGGCCUCACUUCUGACUCCAACUAUGGCUACGGCAAACAGUUCUUGUGGCCUUUGACUCACUAGCAAUAUCUCACCUUAAGCACACACCAGCCAUUUUCAUUUGCUGUCCCAGUCCUUCUCUGACAGCGGAAUGGUAAGUUGCAGGAAGCAUGCUCUACACUCAUGUGGAGCCUGGGAGUGAAGGAAAAUUAAUACCCCCAGGGCAUCUCUCAACCGAUAAGUGAAGGAACCUGAGACUCUUAAACUGUUAGGUUUUCCUGAACACUCCAUGCUGGCAGAAGGAACUUCUCCUUUAUUAUGGAAGAGCAACUUCUCAAUGCCUAAACACCUUGAAAAGGCCUUACCUGAGGAAGACGCCUUGCAAGGUGUCGCUUUUUCUCCUCAAGAUCCACUACCACUCAACCCUUUUUGCCAAGACCAGUAACUUGGGUCUUGUCUCAGCACAGCCUGAACAAAGAUUCUGGAUUUACCAUCCUGGCAAACAGACCUGGAACCAGUUCUAAUCUGCUGCUGGAUUCCUUGAAGGUUGUACACAAUGAUGGUGCACAGUAAAUGAGGUGGAGAUGCCAGAACAACCUAGACAGAAAAUUGAAGAAGGAGCCAAAAAGCUGAGGAAGGAGAAAAUGUUAGAGUGGAUUUAUAUGAGACCAGAAAAUCCCACUGACUAUUCACUGGAAGGACCCAUAGAUAUUCCUUUACCAAGGCUGUAAUGAAGGUUCUACUGAAAAGUAGAUUUUAGAAGCUCAGUGAAGACUUUCACGUGUUGGUAUGAUAGUAAAAUGUGCUACCUUGAUACUGAGCUGCUUUGUAUUAGUGAGUUGUGAAAUGAUCCCAGAAUAGCAAAGGCCAAGUGGCAGCACUUAACUUUCAGAAACAAAGUAGAUAUGAUUAUCAUAAUGGGAAGGGCCAGGAUAGCAAUCGAGGCGCCUUUACUUGAAGGGUUCUAUGGUAAUGGCUCAUAGAUUAGAACGUUCCAGAGAACGAGAUAGAUGGACAGCCCACAAAAGUGUUCUUCAACUUGAAUUAAUGUAACCCCCUCCCUUGACAAAAAAAAAAAAUCAAGAGGUGGCUGCUGUUAGCCAAGACAAUGAAAAACUGUAGUCCUUCACCCAAAUUGGAGAUCUAAAUUUGUUCACAGACCCAGAGCUUAUUAGUCAAAGGGGGAGCUUGUUUCUCUUGAGGAAGGACCCUAUAAUGCUAUCAUAUGUGUAUACCAUAAAUAUUCUCCAAAAUUGACCUACCAGAGUAACUAUGCAAAAGGAAAAUGGAAUACCUAGCCCUUUCAAAGACAGUUGAAUACAGGGUCUGAGCUGACUCCGAUACAAAGGACCCAAAAUACUAUCCCAGAGCUUCAGAUGGAGGCUCAUGGAGACCAGGUGAUAAACAGAGUUCUGACCUAAGUCUUCCACAGAAGGUUCAUUGAAUCCACAGACUCAAUUUCCAAUUCUCAAGUGUAUAAUUGGGGUAGAUAUACUUAAGAGCUGCAGAACACUAAUUACUCACUGCCCUAUGGAGUGUGAGUCAAAACUCUAGGAAAUUCCUGAGGUUGCCUCCAUCCUCUUGCCAAGAAAGUUAAGCAUAAGUAGUACUGCAUUCUAGGAGGAAAUUUGGAGAUUAGCCCUAACACCAAAGAUUUAAAGGAUGCAGUGAUGGUGGUCCCUACAUAUGCUUAUUAAAUUCAACUGCACAGAUCCUGAAACAAUAAAGCCUAUGAGUGUGGUGGAAGACAGUGGACUCCUAUAAACUCCACCAAGUGUUAUGGUCAUCCCUAUUCAUCUGCUGCACUGGGUAUGAAAUCUUUAUGAAACAGAGCAACCCAGACUUUGGUACUGGAUAUGAGGCUACCGAUCUGGUCAAUGUGUUCUUCUCUAAUUCUAUCAGGAGAGAGGAUCAAAGGCAGCUUCCUCUUAUGUGGGGAGGACAACAUUACACAUACACUUUCUUUUCCCAGGGCUAUAUUAAGUAUCUUGCUCUCUGUCACAAUGUAGUCACCAGGAGCCUUGAUCAUAUUGACAUUCGUCGGGAAUCAUGCUAGUCCUUAAUAUUGAUAAUAUCAUGCAAAUAAGACCUGGUGAACAGGAAACACUGAAAAUGAAUGGCUACAUCAGGACAGCCCCAUUCAGACAUGAUACUAAAGGACAGUAUUGAGGAACUACAAAUGGAAAGCUGAAGAACACUAUGGCAUUUCUGGCAGUCAAGAUUUGGAAAGUUACACACUAAGAAGCUAUAAUAUGCUUAAGGAUAAUUUCCACCUAAUAAAGAGAACAGAAAUUUUGUUUAUGCAACCAAAUAGAGAGUUACUGUAUAGAGCAUAUAUUUUCUGAAUCAAACAGAACAGAGAAUGACGGCAUUGAGACAUGUAGAAAUACCCUUAUAAUGACAGAGCUGUCAUGUGGAAUCAUGUGUUAUUUCAUGUGUCCAUUCCAUCUGAAUGAGCAAUAAAACCAUC
rnacentral:lncRNA from 1 species